GCGGGUAUAGCUCAGUUGGUUAGAGCGUUAGGUUGUGGCCCUAAAGGCCGUGGGUUCAAGUCCCAUUACUCGCC
rnacentral:tRNA from 1 species